GUCUAAGGGGGCGUUUUUCCUACCUGCUCCGUGGUGGUCCUGAGGACACUUCUUGGCUGGUGGUUCUAUGCCGAGCCUUGCACACACCACCUCAUCAAUCUGCCUGGGAGCCCACGAGAGGGGUUCGCCUUCUCACUUCAUAGCCAAGACAGCUGGGGCUCAGUCAGGAGACAGGGCCUGGUUGUCAGAGGGGGCCUGGCAGCCUUUGGGUCGCACCUGGGGUCCACACUUCCGAGCACAGCUCACCGUUUGCCAAUUGAACAUACUCCCUGGCCUCAUCUCUUCUUCCCCUGUAUUUACUCACCCCUCGGAUGACGGUUUGUUGGCUAUUUUUUUUUUCUUUAAAUAAGCUUGUGUUUGCCCUCGCCAAGCCAUUCCUAUUGAAAAGAAAACCCCAUCACCAGGGCAAACAGGAAGCCAGCGGCCUGUAGCUCUGAGGUAACCAUAGAAAUGAAAACAGUUGGCCUGAACAGAGGGGCUGCGCCUGCAUGAAGCCGGGGCCUGUCCUUCCCUCUUUAAGAGGGUGAGGAGCUUGGCUUGAAGGGUAUGAAAUGUACUUUAGUAUCAAACUGAGGCAUUUCCUUUGAGGCAAAAGGAAGAAUUAGAGGAGAGUCACGUGGUGCUCAUGGGCUCUAUCAGCAGGGACUGCUGGCCAGCUCAGUGACAAAGAGGCAACGUGACUGUGACUGCAGCCUCUGUCCCCUGGGAAGGGCCCCGAUUGGAUUUCAGAGCCCUUGUCAGCCUGAAGAAGUGCAGCGCCACUCAGCCCUGAGGUCUCCUUACAUCCAUGCCUGCUGCCCUGACUGGACCCAUCGACUUCCUGUCUCUCCGCUCCUUUCCUGGUGUCAGCAAUUUGCAUAUUUCAAGCCCACAACAGAAAGGCUCCUAGGGCCCAAGGAGGGAGAGCCCACCAUUUGCCUCGAGUCAGCAAGAAGAAAAGACAGUGUUACCACACUGAGGACUGUCCACCCCGGGAUGCCGAGAACAAGAGGAUGGCCCUCCCUGCCACAAACUGACCGUGUGUUGGGGGCAAGCACAGAAAUGCCUGACAACAUGGCAGCCCAAUCAGAGUUGGAGGUGUGGUCAGUGGUGGGUUAAAGAAAGUCACCUGGGGUGGUGUGUGUGUGUGUGUGUGUGUGUUAUGCGUGUUCACGUGUAUAUGCACAUGUGUGUUGGGAUACAUGCAUAUGUGGAGGUCGGAGCUUAAAAUGAGGUGUGUUCCUUUUGCUCUUCACCUUAGAUUUUGAGGCAGGGUCUCUCACUGAACCUGGCGCUCAUAGAUUCCUUUAGACUAGCUGGCGAGCAGGCCCCAGGGGUCCUCUUCUCUCUGGCUCUCUGGUGCUGGGAUUAUUGGCAUAUGCUACCAUGCUGUGGAAAAAAUCUUUGUACACUGUAAAUAUAUAUUACUCUCAUUGGCUAAUAAAGAGCUGACAGGCCUAUAGCUAUGCAGGAAGAGACUGGGAGGGAGAGCCAGACUAGGGGGAUGCUGGGAAGAAGGAGGGUGGAGUCUGAGGAGACACCAUGAGACAGAGCAAGCAGGAUGGGAAGCACAUAGAUGAAUAGA